AACGGAGGAAAAGAAACCAACAGGGAUUGCCUCAGUAACGGCGAGUGAAGCGGCAAAAGCUCAAAUUUGAAAUCUAGCACCUUCGGUGUUCGAGUUGUAAUUUGAAGAUGGUAACCUUGGGUUUGGCUCUUGUCUAUGUUCCUUGGAACAGGACGUCAUAGAGGGUGAGAAUCCCGUCUGAUGAGAUGCCCAUUCCUAUGUAAGGUGCUAUCGAAGAGUCGAGUUGUUUGGGAAUGCAGCUCUAAGUGGGUGGUAAAUUCCAUCUAAAGCUAAAUAUUGGCGAGAGACCGAUAGCGAACAAGUACAGUGAUGGAAAGAUGAAAAGAACUUUGAAAAGAGAGUGAAAAAGUACGUGAAAUUGUUGAAAGGGAAGGGCAUUAGAUCAGACUUGGUGUUUUACGAUUAUCUUCUCUUCUUGAGUUGUGCACUCGUAUUUCACUGGGCCAGCAUCGAUUCGGAUGGCAAGAUAAUGGCAGUUGAAUGUGGCUUCACUUCGGUGGAGUGUUAUAGCUUCUGCUGAUAUUGCCUGUCUGGAUCGAGGGCUGCGUCUUUUGACUAGGAUGCUGGCGUAAUGAUCUAAUGCCGCCCGUCUUA
rnacentral:rRNA from 1 species